rnacentral:rRNA from 1 species
UACGUAGGGGGCUAGCGUUGUCCGGAUUUAUUGGGCGUAAAGAGCGUGUAGGCGGCCAGGUAGGUCUGCUGUGAAAACUCGAGGCUCAACCUCGAGACGUCGGCGGAAACCAUCUGGCUAGAGUCCGGAAGAGGAGAGUGGAAUUCCUGGUGUAGCGGUGAAAUGCGCAGAUAUCAGGAAGAACACCAGUGGCGAAGGCGGCCCCCUGGGCCGAACCUGACGCUGAGGCGCGAAGGCUAGGGGAGCGAACGGG